rnacentral:lncRNA from 1 species
CAAAAGAUGCAUCUGAAUAUUGAGAUUCAUUAUAAAAAAUAAUUAAACAGUAACGCUGAACAAUGUCUUAAGUUUGAAAAUUAAUACUAUAUCUUAGUUCGAUGGCAUCCGAAAAAUACAAUGUUGUUAGAGCUAUGCCUUAAAAUUAACAACUCUCACUCCUUUAUCUAUCAGAUUCUUCAUGAAUGAUCUGCUAAGUGUAGAGAUCAUAUGCCAGAUGGCAUUAGUCAUGAUGUUUCACCGCGGAAGAUGUGAACUCUUUAUUCACUGCCACCACUUCUUCUCAGACAACGAAAUUAGCUGCCAAAAACAAAUAGAGAAGAUGAGCAACCAUGAGUGAGUAACCAUAGGCGUUUAUCAAGGUUUGCAGCACACAAAUGUACAGAUAAAAUGAGAAGAACAUCAAGGCGACCUGCUAGCGCUUACUUAAAUAUAGUACACCCUCAACAUUCAAACCAGCUAAAACUUGCUACUCGUAGCAAACAUUUGAUUUCAUACCUUCAUAACUCUAAAAAGUUCUUCCUUGGAAGUUCUAUCCUGGAGGAAAUAUUUUGUUCCAUAAUGAGAAACUCCAUGUGCAUAAAAUCACUCACUGAGUAUGCAUAAUUCUUUAGUCUUUCUAAGAAUUUAAGGGUUUACUAGCCACACAAGAAUAGCUGAGAAGGAACACGUGACUAAGCGAAUAACUGGUAAUGCCCUGAAACACAACUUUCUAGCCAUGGUUGAAACCUAACUGGUUAUCACAAACAUUUGGUUCACCAACUUUGGGUCUCUUGAUGUGCACCAACACUCUUCAGGAACAACUUCCUGAAAUAAGAUAAAAAUCCUGUAAUUGAAAGACUACGCUAGUUUCUCUCAGAGAAUAAAGGGCAAGAUAGAAGGUGAUCAGGGGGUCCAACCCCCGCCGUUCCCUAAAAAGUAAUUUUCAGAAAAUGAAAAUCUUCGAAAACGCAAGAGCUAGGAGUUACACAUCAAUGAAGUUGGCAAUUUAGCAAGAUACUAGAACAAUACUGCCAAAUGCGGUACCUAUUAUUACAUCAGCUACUAAACUUUUUAGAGAUGUCCUGAAUUCUUUUUCAUUCAAUAGGAAAACACCAAGCAUAUUCAUACAAAUAGCUAUAUGCAUAUGUCGCAUUCAUACAAACCUCAAGUAUACAGAAAAGGAAUAUAUAUAUACACACACACACACACACACACACACACAUAUAUAUAUAUAUGCAUCAGAACAUCUAUGAUGACAGAAUAGGUGAAUAACCAACCUGUCGUGCAACCUGUGCCACUCGGCGACU